GACUGCGGAGGAUCAUUACCGAGUGAGGGCCCUCUGGGUCCAACCUCCCACCCGUGUUUAUUUUACCUUGUUGCUUCGGCGGGCCCGCCUUAACUGGCCGCCGGGGGGCUUACGCCCCCGGGCCCGCGCCCGCCGAAGACACCCUCGAACUCUGUCUGAAGAUUGUAGUCUGAGUGAAAAUAUAAAUUAUUUAAAACUUUCAACAACGGAUCUCUUGGUUCCGGCAUCGAUGAAGAACGCAGCGAAAUGCGAUACGUAAUGUGAAUUGCAAAUUCAGUGAAUCAUCGAGUCUUUGAACGCACAUUGCGCCCCCUGGUAUUCCGGGGGGCAUGCCUGUCCGAGCGUCAUUUCUGCCCUCAAGCACGGCUUGUGUGUUGGGCCCCGUCCUCCGAUCCCGGGGGACGGGCCCGAAAGGCAGCGGCGGCACCGCGUCCGGUCCUCGAGCGUAUGGGGCUUUGUCACCCGCUCUGUAGGCCCGGCCGGCGCUUGCCGAUCAACCCAAAUUUUUAUCCAGGUUGACCUCGGAUCAGGUAGGGAUACCCGCUGAACUUAAGCAUAUCA
rnacentral:rRNA from 1 species